GGUCUCGUAGUACAACGGAUAGUAUAAGAGUUUCCGAAGCUCCAGAUCGUGGUUCGAUUCCACGCGAGACCACCA
rnacentral:tRNA from 1 species